rnacentral:rRNA from 1 species
UCGAGAAUCUUCGGCAAUGGGCGCAAGCCUGACCGAGCGACGCCGCGUGUGCGAUGAAGGCCUUCGGGUUGUAAAGCACUGUCGAGGGGGAUCAAAGCGCAAGCUUGAGAGAUCCCUGGAGGAAGCACGGGCUAAGUUCGUGCCAGCAGCCGCGGUAAGACGAACCGUGCGAACGUUGUUCGGAAUCACUGGGCUUAAAGGGCGCGUAGGCGGUCGGGCAAGUCCGGGGUGAAAUCCUGCAGCUUAACUGUAGAAGUGCCUUGGAUACUGCCCGGCUCGAGGGAGGUAGGGGUCUGUGGAACUUCUGGUGGAGCGGUGAAAUGCGUUGAUAUCAGAAGGAACGCCGGUGGCGAAAGCGACAGACUGGACCUUUUCUAACGCUGAGGCGCGAAAGCUAGGGGAGCAAACGGGAUUAGAUACCCCGGUAGUCCUAGCCCUAAACGUUGAGCACUAGAUUGCAGACUAGUCAUGGGUUUGCAGUCGAAGCAAAAGUGUUAAGUG